AACGAACGCUGGCGGCAUGCCUAACACAUGCAAGUCGAACGAGACCUUCGGGUCUAGUGGCGCACGGGUGCGUAACGCGUGGGAACCUGCCUUUAGGUUCGGAAUAACUCAGAGAAAUUUGAGCUAAUACCGGAUGAUGUCUUCGGACCAAAGAUUUAUCGCCUUUAGAUGGGCCCGCGUUGGAUUAGCUAGUUGGUGGGGUAAAGGCCUACCAAGGCGACGAUCCAUAGCUGGUCUGAGAGGAUGAUCAGCCACACUGGGACUGAGACACGGCCCAGACUCCUACGGGAGGCAGCAGUGGGGAAUAUUGGACAAUGGGCGAAAGCCUGAUCCAGCAAGGCCGCGUGAGUGAUGAAGGCCUUAGGGUUGUAAAGCUCUUUUACCCGAGAUGAUAAUGACAGUAUCGGGAGAAUAAGCUCCGGCUAACUCCGUG
rnacentral:rRNA from 1 species